GUUACUUUCUAAAGGUUUCUUAAUUCCUUUUCAAAAUUAAGUGGCGACUCUCUUCAAAAGUCAAAUAUUUCGUAAAACAGUAGCAUUUAUACUUUUGGUUAAAUAAAAUUUACUGGUUGACCUAAAAAAAAAAACUUUAAUCGUGAUUCAUAAGUAAAUAUGUUUACUUUAAAAAAAUAAUGAAAUAGUACUUAAUGGAAGAAUCAUUAAAAUUAAGGUAAGUUGAAUCCUAUUUGUAAUCUAACUAAACUUGGAACUAAUUUGCUUGGUAAUCAAUUUAUUUCCUUCUCAAAUUUUUUCUUUUGACGUUUUCUCUCUGUCUCUCAAGAUUAUUGGUGGAGUAAUUUCUUAAGACUUUAACCCUCCAAAUGUUGUGAAUUUUGUAAUAAGAUUCUAUAAAUACAUCAAUCAUAUGAAUUAAAAAGAAAAGAAUCUACAUAAUUGCUAAUUCUCGUUGUUGUCGUAUUCGUUUAAAUCAAUAUGUAUAAUCUGUAAAUUUCUUGAUUUUGGAAUCACUUUCUUAGACAACUGAUAAUUCUCAUGUUUCACAACAAAAAUAAGGCAAUCACAGUAGGAUAUAUGUAAUAUUAUUAGUGAAAAAAAAAGAAAACGAAUAAGUAUAAUCGUAAACAUGUAGCACAAACUAUAUUUAUAUCCCCCUCCCACAAUAUAACAUUACUAUAUUUAUUCACCCUCCCACAAUAUAGCAUAAGGUAGAAAGAAGCAAUGAUAAUUGUAAAUAUUAUAUUUGGCUACAUUCAUUAUACAAUACAAUUAUAUCAAUUAUUGAGAGUUAAAAUAAGUAAAAGACUUACAAGAAGGAGGAAACGAAGCAGAAAGAACAUCACAAACCUAAUUAAGGAAAAAAUGGCGAAAGGCCCCCCAACCUUUACCCCAAAUCCCAACUACACACUUAUACUUCCUGAACUAUUUUAAAGUGGAAUAUUUACACCCCUAAAAGCUCAUUCCAGACAUUGUUUCAGGCAGUGAGCUGCACUCGUUGCCACGUUAUGUCACGUCAUUGCCACGCCAUUUUUUUCUUUUUUACUCUAAAAAAUUAAUUAUUUAACUUUGUAUAUUUUAUUUUAUAUAUUUUACUUUUCUCUUUAUAUAUUAUUUCUCCUUAAGAAAAUUUCUCUCUCUUUCUCAUUCCCCAUUUUGUUUCAUUUUCUUCUUCAACUCAAUUUCAUUUCUAUAAUCCUCAAAUCAAACAAUUCAACUCCACAAGAGCAUAAACUUAACAUUCCAAUGGCUCGUAUGUAUAUCCCGACAGUUUGGGUACAUUGUGCUGACUACCUCAGCUGGUAUCAUGGACCAUGAAGAGGCUAGGAGUAAAAAUGUUGGUGGAAAGGUUCUUGGUUUCUUUUAUUGAGUCAUAUUGACGAGGAUGAAAACUUUGAUUUUGCUGUUUGUUAACCCUUUAUAUCCACCUUUUGUUGUUUUUGCCUCUCCCAUCAAAUUAUAGUAGGAAUUUUAUUGAAAAUUUUGAGACAAUUAUCAGAUUUUGUUGAAAAAGUUUGGAGCUUGUUGACAUAAAAAAAACAAUGGCUCGUAUAAAGCUCCGUUGUUGCUGCAUUGCAAGUAGAAUGGUGGAAUAUCGACAAUUUGGUGUGUAUGUGUGGAGCAAUCAUAGUGUUUUGUUGAAGAGAAGAAAGAAAGAAAGAAGCGAGAAGAGAAAGAAGCAUCCGUGAAUGUCUACGUAAUUGUUAAUUUUGCUAUUUUAAUGAAAUUAAAGGUGACCCAUUUGGGGGGUGUGUGUUGAAAUAAUCGUUAAUUGAGGUAUUUUUAUGGAAUUGCAGAAUUUGGUGUGUAUGUGUGGAGCAAUCAUAGUGUUUUGUUGAAGAGAAGAAAGAAAGAAAGAAGCGAGAAGAGAAAGAAGCAUCCGUGAAUGUCUACGUAAUUGUUAAUUUUGCUAUUUUAAUGAAAUUAAAGGUGACCCAUUUGGGGUGUGUGUGUUGAAAUAAUAGUUAAUUGAAUUAUUUUUUUAUGGAAUUGCAGAAUUUGGUGUGUGGGUGUGGAGCAGUCAUGGUGUUUUGUUGAAGAGAAGAAAGACAAGAAAAAAAGAGAAAAAGAAAGAAGAGAGAAAAGAAGAAGCAUUCAUGGUGUUUUGUUGAAGAGGAAAGAAAGA